UAGGGAAUCUUCCACAAUGGGCGCAAGCCUGAUGGAGCAACACCGCGUGAGUGAAGAAGGGUUUCGGCUCGUAAAGGCUCUGUUGUUAAAGAAGAACACGUAUGAGAGUAACUGUUCAUACGUUGACGGUAUUUAACCAGAAAGUCACGGCUAACUACGUGCCAG
rnacentral:rRNA from 1 species